AGAGGUCACCGCGUCAUCAGUAUGAUUUGCAGGGUGCCUUGUGUUUACAUGCUGGUGCACACCCCCUGCAUAGCUGGGGGAGGGGGAGUUAUUUUGCAGUGAUAUUUCUGUAUGCUCUGUGCUGGGACUGCACGUUAACACUCGGCACUGCUACACAAGCGCCUAACAGCUGCUGUGCUGCCCCCAACUGAUCAGUCACUAUAUGUAGUGUCCAAGGCCCCAACCACAGACCUUCCCUGACCAGUAGUGAAGUCCACUCACGGGGAGAAUGGGAUGGGAAGUUUCUGAAAAUUGUCAGACCUGAAAUAGAAAAGAUACGACCUUGAGACGCCCCCUGCUGUCAAGGUGUUAAAUUAUUUUCAGAAGUUUCUUAAAAGAACCUGUCACGUACUUUUACUGUAUGAAGCCGAUGGCAAUGCCGUGUAAUGUGAUUAAAACUGUACUUCUGUCUGGGUUAUCGAUCUUUCAGAACGGCAGAAAAAAAACUUUGUUUGGCAUGCAAAUUAUGUGCAAAGUGCCCAGUGGGGUGUCACCAAUGGUUCAAGGAGCCCCAGGUCUCCCCUCCCCGGAGCCCCAGGCCUCGUAACACAAGAUAUAUUUUCAUUCAUACAGUGAGAAACCGUUAACUAUAGCCAUGGUCAGGGCUGUACACGGGGCGGGGGGGGCACCCUUACCUGUCCAUACAAAUGCCAUGUGCCCAACACUUGCACUCCAUUGUUAUGACUGUCGUGUGACAUUAGGAGACAGCAGACUUCAUGAAUGCCUAAAAUCAUGCAGCCCAGGCCUCGCAUGACCAGGAGGUCAUUGACCUGACACACGGAUAGCACAUACAGUAGAAUGCCCCGUAUGUGAUUUGGAGAUUCUGUGCAGUCCUCCCCUCCGGGCCCCCGCUGCUUUUUCUCAGGCUUCCUGCCAGUGAUUUAGGAGCCACAUAAGCUUUAUAUCCUUAUUCCAACGCCACGUUGUGGUGGAAGGAAAUGCUGCAUUCACCUUGUGAUCUUAUCCACUUAAUCCCAACUUUCUAUCUCCACCUCCAAAUCCUACAGAUCGCUCAUUUAUAAAACUUGAAAGGCAAGUGUUUUCCUACAGCUCCCCCACAGGAGAAUUUAGGCAUUACAUGGUGCCUAGUCAUAACAAUGGAGCGUCUGUGUAUUGCAGGACAGAACAGGUUCUCCACUCUCGCGCUCUUUGUAACCACGAUCUCAAUAGGUGAGGAUCCUGACUUGGGUGAUGGUCAUUAACUGGCUGGGGAAGCAUGCUCGGCCAAGCUGAGCAUGCACGUGAAAGGUGGUCGGGGGAGAUGGCCGCCAUACUCAUUAGCUGUUGAUCAAAUAGUUGUUCAGCUGGCUGCUUUCUCCCGACCCUCAUCAUGCACGUACACACUUGGCCUGGCCCAGCAUGCAUGUGUCCUGAACCAAGAGAGGGCAGAUAGCCGCUGCCUCUUUUUUUCCCCAGGAUCAAAAGGAUCAGGCUUGUUGAAAUCUAACUGCCCAGUCCUUAUCUCCUCUGAUAUCUGCCGUCGGAGACCCCCAUAUAUGUUGGGUGGAAUGGCACAGACAUCUACGUUUUCCCGUCCAGUAAAAAAACUAAACGCAAAAUAGAGAGAAAGCGUACGCUUUCGGUAUAUGUAUUUUCUAUAGAGACCUACGUAUUUGUUAAACGCACAAUUUGUUAUACGUUUCUCAGUACAAACGGGUAGGUC